AGAGUUUGAUCAUGGCUCAGAUUGAACGCUGGCGGUAUGCUUAACACAUGCAAGUCGAACGGAAACGAUACUAGCUUGCUAGUAGGCGUCGAGUGGCGGACGGGUGAGUAACGCGUAGGAAUCUGCCUGAUAGUGGGGGAUAGCCCGAAGAAAUUCGGAUUAAUACCGCAUAAUCUAUUCGUAGUAAAGUGGGGGACUUUCGACCCUCACGCUAUCAGAUGANCCUGCGUAAGAUUAGCUUGUUGGUGGGGUAAAAGCCCACCAAGGCGACGAUCUUUAGCUGGUCUGAGAGGAUGAUCANCCACAUCGGGACUGAGACACGGCCCGAACUCCUACG
rnacentral:rRNA from 1 species